rnacentral:rRNA from 1 species
AUUGAACGCUGGCGGCAGGCUUAACACAUGCAAGUCGAGCGGGGGAAGGUAGCUUGCUACCGGACCUAGCGGCGGACGGGUGAGUAAUGCUUAGGAAUCUGCCUAUUAGUGGGGGACAACAUCUCGAAAGGGAUGCUAAUACCGCAUACGUCCUACGGGAGAAAGCAGGGGAUCUUCGGACCUUGCGCUAAUAGAUGAGCCUAAGUCGGAUUAGCUAGUUGGUGGGGUAAAGGCCUACCAAGGCGAAGAUCUGUGGCGGGUCUGAGAGGAUGAUCCGCCACACUGGGACUGAGACACGGUCCAGACUCCUACGGGAGGCAGCAGUGGGGAAUAUUGGACAAUGGGGGGAACCCUGAUCCAGCCAUGCCGGGUGUGUGAAGAAGGCCUUAUGGUUGUAAAGCACUUUAAGCGAGGAGGAGGCUACUUUAGUUAAUACCUAGGGAUAGUGGACGUUACUCGCAGAAUAAGCACCGGCUAACUCUGUGCCAGCCGCCGCCGUAACAC